rnacentral:lncRNA from 1 species
GAUGUGAUGGAAUUUGAAGCUAGGGAAUACAGCCAUGCAGCAGCACGAUCCUCUAAAGUCAUGGGAAAUAACCUUAAUUUAAUACCCUCUUCAUCUAAAUUUUGAUUUCUAAAUAUUUGACAGAUUGUCAAAAAUUUGUUUAGAUGAAUAUAGGGUUGUUCACUCUCGAACCCAUGAAACUUGGGUAACAUAUUUAUUGUUGCAGCCCGAAUUUCAAAUUGGGCUGCAUUAU